rnacentral:rRNA from 1 species
AUGGGCUGUCGAGGACACCGUCAAGUCAAACUCACCAUCCCAGGUGUCGUCUCAAAACAUAAAGAAGACACUGGCAAUGAUAUCACUUACUUCGAUGCAUGGACCAUCAGACGUACCAAAGGUGACAAGGACAAGGACCCUCUCCACCCGGAGAGGGACUGGAUCAGCUAUAAAGCCCGGUCAGAUGGAGAGAACUACACCGAAAAAUUGAAGGAGACGUACGGGCCUGACGCUGAUCCUCAUGUGCUACCGUUUGACCCUCUUGUGGCCAUUGUCGCGGCAUGCGGUAGACCGAAUGGCCGGAUGGCGGUUCACCUUGAUUCUAUCAUAACCUUCUCCCUUCCGAGAGUCAACACGCUCCGUGCUAUGAGUAUUGGCUCUACUCCUACCGUAGAGCGUCACAUACCACAUUUCAUGAGCAUUAUUGAGGAUAUUCAGACUUGA